rnacentral:rRNA from 1 species
UACGUAGGCAGCGAGCGUUGUUCGGAGUUACUGGGCGUAAAGGGUGUGUAGGCGGUUCUUUAAGUUUGGUGUGAAAUCUCCCGGCUCAACCGGGAGGGUGCGCCGAAUACUGAAUGACUAGAGUGCGGGAGAGGAUAGUGGAAUUCCUGGUGUAGCGGUGAAAUGCGUAGAUAUCAGGAGGAACACCGGUGGUGUAGACGGCUAUCUGGACCGUAACUGACGCUGAGGCACGAAAGCGUGGGUAGCAAACAGG